rnacentral:ncRNA from 1 species
AACAACGGACUUCAGUAUUGGUAUCUCCCAUCGACAUUUGGACUUCUCCUAAUCACCUCGGUUUGAAAAACGCCGAGGUUUUU